AUCGAACGCUGGCGGCAGGCCUAACACAUGCAAGUCGAACGAACCUUUCGGGCUUAGUGCCGGACGGGUGCGUAACGCGUGGUAACGUGCCUUUAGGUUCGGAAUAACUCAGGGAAACUUGUGCUAAUACCGACUGUGCCCUCCGGGGGAAAGUUGUAUAGCCUUUAGAGCGGCCGGCGUCUGCUUAGCUAGUUGGUUGGGUGAAUGGCUCACCAGUGCGACGAGCAGUAGCUGGUCUGUGAGAAUGAUCAGACACACUGGGAGUGAGACACGGCCCAGAAUCUUACGGGAGGCAGGAGAGGGGAAUCCUGCGAAACGGGGGACAGGCUGAAGCCGUCAGGCCGCGUGACUGAUGAAGGUCGUAGGAUAGUAAAAUUCUUUAAUAGGCGACGAUAAUGACGGUACCGGGAGAAGAAGCACCGGCUAACUUCGUG
rnacentral:rRNA from 1 species